GGAGAGGUGGCUGAGCGGCUGAAGGCAACGGUUUGCUAAACCGUCGUACCUUUAACGGGGUACCGGGGGUUCGAAUCCCCCCCUCUCCGCCA
rnacentral:tRNA from 1 species